AAAUUUUUGACAAGACUUCAAAAAUUCUCGGCAAAUAUAUCAGAAGAAAUAAAAUAUCGUAAAAAUAUUGGAAUAUAAAUUUUCAGUGUUAUUCAAUAAUUCAAAAUGGUUUUCGGACUUGGAAGAACUAAAUCAGAGCCAUGCAGAAUGAUGGCUCCCCAACCUGAAAAAUUAAAUUUAAACAUAUCUCUCUUUGGUGCGAUAUCAUCCCUCCUACUCUGCAUAUGUGAUAUUUUAAAUGGAAUUUGUUAUGUACUAAUAUUUCUGUGUAGCGUUUGUUUACAACUCCUUUAUUGUGCAAUGGCAUGUUAAUCUAAAUUGUUUAAAGAAUAGUUUUAAUUGUAACUGAAAAUUAUUUAAAAAUGUGAUGUUUUGUAAGUUUGAAAUGAAUAAGUAUAUUGGUGAAGAUA